UGUCAGGCCCUACCCUCUUCUCUUGAUGAUACACUGUCAGGCCCUACCCUCUUCUCUUGAUGAUACUGUCAGGCCCUACCCUCUCUGCUUGAUGAUACACUGUCAGGCCCUACCCUCUUCUCUUGAUGAUACUGUCAGGUCCAACCCUCUCUGCUUGAUGAUACACUGUCAGGCCCUACCCUCUUCUCUUGAUGAUACUGUCAGGCCCUACCCUCUUCUCUUGAUGAUACACUGUCAGGCCCUACCCUCUUCUCUUGAUGAUACUGUCAGGCCCUACCCUCUUCUCUUGGGUCCACAUGAAUAACCUCCACAUGGCAGGGCCCUACCCUCUUCUCUUGAUGAUACUGUCAGGUCCAACCCUCUCUGCUUGGGUCCACAUGAAUAACCUCCACAUGGCAGGGCCCUACAGAGGGUACAUUUUACUUACAUUUGCGCCUAAAUAUUUUGCUGUGCAACCUGGAAUUUGAAUUUAGGAGCACCAGUGCACCUAUAAAAAUGAUGUAUUCUAGCUACGUUGUUCAACCUGUCAACGUAGUGUGGUAUGUGCUUUCUGUUAGACAUGUAACAUUAUGGAUGUAAAUUGUGAUUGUUGAUGUUAGCUGCAGCCACCGACACCAGCCCUGGAUCUAAGUCUGAAUCAUAAAUGAUGCAAGAAUAACUCUGAACCUGAUGAAACACAGGACCUGUUCAUAGACGGGGCUUCAUGCAGCCUUGGAAUAUCAACAACAACAACGUUGAAAGUACGUCUCGUGCUCACUGGGAUACCGAUACAGCUCCAGGGAUAAACAGAGCUCCUGAUUGAAUCGAUCCCCAGGUCGGUAUGUUGAACCCAGCUGGAGGUGUUUCUCUAUGUUCUGAAACACCUGUUCCUUUAACCCACCUGGUGAUGGUAAAGGGGAAACUCUAUACUUGAAAUCAAUGUGUUUUUAUUCAUCAGCUGUAUAGUAGGCUUUCUUUAGUUAACCAAAGCCAUAACUAGUCAGUUUAUCAUAUUUUAAUAUAUAUACCAUGUGAUUAUUUAUUUGUUGGUGAUAUUUACUAUAUAAACCAAGUGGCUGGUUCUCUUGGUUCCUGCUGUCAAAGGUCUUUGAUCUAGCUGCUCAUCAUCCUUCAUCUUCUUUAUAACCAAGUGGCUGGUUCUCUUGGUUCCUGCUGUCAAAGGUCUUUGAUCUAGCUGCUCAUCAUCCUUCAUCUUCUUUAUAACCAAGUGGCUGGUUCUCUUGGUUCCUGCUGUCAAAGGUCUUUGAUCUAGCUGCUCAUCAUCCUUCAUCUUCUUUAUAACCAAGUGGCUGGUUCUCUUGGUUCCUGCUGUCAAAGGUCUUUGAUCUAGCUGCUCAUCAUCCUUCAUCUUCUUUAUAACCAAGUGGCUGGUUCUCUUGGUUCCUUCUGUCAAAGGUCUUUGAUCUAGCUGCUCAUCAUCCUUCAUCUUCUUUAUAACCAAGUGGCUGGUUCUCUUGGUUCCUGCUGUCAAAGGUCUUUGAUCUAGCUGCUCAUCAUCCUUCAUCUUCUUUAUAACCAAGUGGCUGGUUCUCUUGGUUCCUUCUGUCAAAGGUCUUUGAUCUUGCUGCUCAUCAUCCUUCAUCUUCUUCUUCUUAUUUAAAGGGAAUGUUGUUGAAUAAAUGAUUUGACUUAAUGGCUUUAUUCUAGUUUUGAACUGCCCAGUGUAUAUCCUAGGGUCUGGACUGUUGGUCUAAAGGUUAAUGCAGACAAUAUGUACUGUUUCAAUCCUCAUACUGAGACGAGCCUGAGUGCCAGUCUGUUCCUGCUAAUAUGUUUGGCUUGACAAUUCCAUAAGGAGUUGGCAAGAGAGCAGAAAUGUUUGUUUCACAUACCUGUCAAUAAUACUAUAUGAAUCAAAUUCAGAUGUAAUGUUUGUUUCACAUACCUAUUAAUAAUGCUAUUGUAAUCAUGGGUUUAUGCUUUUGAGUGGAGCACCAUCAGCUGAACCCGUCAUGUAGAACAAGUUAUUCAACUGAUUAGAGUUCAGUACAACACUAUUAUAUAGAAGGAUAUGUUGCUGUUAUGAAAGUGUAAACAUCAGAGGGAGAGAGAAAGGUUUGGCAACAACCACUCAGCCUCACUCUGUCAGGAGAGGAGGGGAGGGGAGGGGAGCAGAGCAGCCUGUACCCAAGCUGUCACUGAGGAGCCAAACCAACACUGUAUACAUAACAGCUUUGGAACACAAUGUCACAUUCUAUUAUUAGUAAUGAUCAUCAUUAUAUUGCCUGGUGAUUCUAUAACCAAUGUCAACAUGAGUGUAUUAUAAUCAACCUACAAUAAAAGUAAGUUGUAGUUCCAGUA